UACGUCAUCUGUCAGACAUCUCCCUUGAUGAGGCUCCUGGCAGUCAUUGCCAAGUUAAUUGUACAAAAGCGGGGUGGUUGUUCCGUGAGUCCUGGGAAUCAACACUUGAGACUGAGGCUAAGAAGAAAGGACACAGCUGGUCUGGUUCCUCCCUGGCAUAGCUCCCAGAUCUGAAGGACAAAGUUCAAAUAGCUACAAUUCUGGGCAAAGUUGCAAUGUUUGUCAUUAAGAUUUAAAGGAGGUUGUCCCAAAAGAAGAAACUGAGGCAAGGACUGGUGCAGGUAGUUUAUCAGGAAGUGAUUUUAGGAGUUAGGAAUGAGGAAUGAGAAGAAGCUACUGUAAUCAACGAGGAUUCCAUGGGAACGUCUGAGAAUUGUCCGUCUGAAUGGCAUGGGGCUACGGCAUAUCAUCUAACCAUGGUUGUACAUGGGGCUCUUAAUGCCUCAUGUUUCCAAAAUGCAUUGCCUAGUGCACCAAGCCAGCCACUGUGACUUCAGAGAAGUCCCUAGGAAGAAAGCAGAAAGACACAUGGACAUGGCUUGAGGUGGGCAGGUUGCCAACAGACUGAUUCUGAGCCCCCCAAGGACUGCCCACCAACUCUGCAAUUAAAAUCAGAGGUGGGUCAAGAGGCUCAAAAUCAUUCACUACAUAGGCUACUAAAUUGAUUGGGUAGCAGAUAAUUACAAAUAAUUUUGUAGUUAAUAAUCAACAUGUGGUAGUGAUAAGAACCAGACUGCUUGAAUUCAAAUCCUGGCCUCCACCAACUGCAUGACUUCAUAUAUGCCUCCAUUACCUCAUAUUUAAAGUAGAAAUAAUAAUAGAAUUUUCUUCAUCAUGCCGUUGUGAAGAUGAAAUGAAUUAAUUUGCUUACUAGAGAGCCUAGCAAAGAGGGAACACUAAAAUAUUUUCGUUAUUAUGAUAUUUCAUGCUUUGGUCCACAGGGAAUUUGUUCUC
rnacentral:lncRNA from 1 species